rnacentral:rRNA from 1 species
UAAUACGGAGGGUGCAAGCGUUGUUCGGAAUCACUGGGCGUAAAGCGUGUGUAGGCGGCCUUUUAAGUCGGAUGUGAAAGCCCUGGGCUCAACCCAGGAACUGCAUCCGAUACUGGAGGGCUUGAGUAUGGGAGAGGGAAGCGGAAUUCCUGGUGUAGCGGUGAAAUGCGUAGAUAUCAGGAGGAACACCCGCGGCGAAAACGGCUUCCUGGACCAUAACUGACGCUGAGACACGAAAGCAUGGGGAGCAAACAGGAUUAGAUACCCUGGUAGUCCAUGCCGUAAACGAUGAGUGCUAGGUGUUGGAGGUGUUGACCCCUCCAGUGCCGACGCUAACGCAUUAAGCACUCCGCCUGGGGAGUACGGUCGCAAGAUUA